CAGCAGCCGCGGGAAUACGGAGGGGGCUAGCGUUGUUCGGAAUUACUGGGCGUAAAGCGCACGUAGGCGGCUUUGUAAGUUAGAGGUGAAAGCCCGGAGCUCAACUCCGGAAUUGCCUUUAAGACUGCAGAGCUAGCAGGUGAGAGAGGUGAGUGGAAUUCCGAGUGUAGAGGUGAAAUUCGUAGAUAUUCGGAAGAACACCAGUGGCGAAGGCGACUGACUGGACAAGUAUUGACGCUGAGGUGCGAAAGCGUGGGGAGCAAACAGGAUUAGAUACCCGGGUAGUCCCUGUCUCUUAUAC
rnacentral:rRNA from 1 species